rnacentral:rRNA from 1 species
AAAAAGCUCGUAGUUGGAUUUCUGGAGUGACUGACCACAAACUCUGUUUGUGAGUUGUGUCAUUCUGGCCAUCCUUGGUAAGAUCCUUUUUGGCAUUAAGUUGUCGGGAAGGGGAUGACCAUCGUUUACUGUGAAAAAAUUAGAGUGUUUAAAGCAGGCUUAUGCCGUUGAAUAUAUUAGCAUGGAAUAAUAAGAUAGGACUUUGAGUCUAUUUUGUUGGUUUGCGAGUCAAAGUAAUGAUUAAUAGGGACAGUUGGGGGUAUUCGUAUUUCAUUGUCAGAGGUGAAAUUCUUGGAUUUCUGAAAGACGAACUACUGCGAAAGCAUUUACCAAGGAUGUUUUCAUUAAUCAAGAACGAAAGUUAG